AUGAUGCUAUGGCAAUAUUUAAAAGGAGCCAAGCCUGCUAACUCAGACAGCAUUUCCAGACCUCCCAUGGAGUGCAUAUUCAUGUACUGGUGCUUUCGUUUCUUUGAAAUAGACUCCCAAAGUGGAAUUUAUGAAACAAAGGCCAGGCGUGGUGGCUCACGUCUGUAAUCCCAGCACUUUGGAAGGCUUAGUCAGGUGGAUCAGCUGAGGUCAGGAGUUCAAGAUCAUCCUGACCAUCACGGUGAAAGCCCACCUCUACUAAAUACAAAACAAAACAAAACAGAAAUGAGCUGCGAGUGGCGGCAUGUGCCUGUAAUCCCAGCUACUUGGGAGGCUGAGACAGGAGAACAGCUUGAACUCAAGAGGCAUAGGUUGCAGUGAGCCCAGAUUGCACCAUUGCACUCCAGCCUGGGCAACAAGAGUGAAACUCCAUCUCAAGAAAAAAAAAAAAUUAUAUGAACUGUUGACUUAAGAUAUUCUUUCACAAUAAUUACAUUUUAUUAAAAUAUUUAUAUUUAUCUACUUUGUGUAUCAGAUAAAAAUAAACAUAUUCUGGCAAAAUUCAAGAAGUCACACACAAUCAUUAAGCACUGCCAGCAUUACACAGGAAUCUGAAUGUUAUUUUACUAUUGUUAUGACUGUUUAUUGUGCUCUUCAUCGGUACCUCCCUUCUGUC
rnacentral:lncRNA from 1 species